rnacentral:rRNA from 1 species
GACGAACGCUAGCGGCGUGCUUAACACAUGCAAGUCGAACGGAAAGGCCCUACUUUUGUGGGGUGCUCGAGUGGCGAAAGGGUGAGUAACACGUGAGUAACCUGCCCUUGACUUUGGGAUAACUUCAGGAAACUGGGGCUAAUACCGGAUAGGAGCUCCUGCUGCAUGGUGGGGGUUGGAAAGUUUCGGCGGUUGGGGAUGGACUCGCGGCUUAUCAGCUUGUUGGUGGGGUAGUGGCUUACCAAGGCUUUGACGGGUAGCCGGCCUGAGAGGGUGACCGGCCACAUUGGGACUGAGAUACGGCCCAGACUCCUACGGGAGGAAGCAGUGGGGAAUAUUGCACAAUGGGCGGAAGCCUGAUGCAGCAACGCCGCGUGCGGGAUGACGGCCUUCGGGUUGUAAACCGCUUUCGCCUGUGACGAAGCGUGAGUGACGGUAAUGGGUAAAGAAGCACCGGCUAACUACGUG